rnacentral:sRNA from 1 species
CCGGGGCAAGCUAGGGGUGGGAUGGAAGUCGAGAGUCGAUCCCAGAGCCCGGCCGCGGGGAGAGGUUCUCGGCAGAGAAGACAAAGCCCGCAGCAGCGAUGGGGGGAGAGCUGGGCUCUGCGCGUUGUGGGGGCCAGGAAAGGGUGCCAGGCUGGGGCUGGAACCCCCUGGCAAAGGAUGGGGUCCCCUCAUCCCUAAACAGCAAGCCAUCUCCCCUCGCCCGCCCCCCGCCCCCCCAGUCUCGGAGAUCUCAGAGGCACCGACUGGGAGUCCGCUUGCCCCUGGCUUCUGGCAUCCAACACAUGGGGGACAAUGAUGCUACCAGUCGUUUCCUGACUCGGGCCGAACACCCAGUACACUGGAAUCUCUUUGAGAACAGGGACUGGAUCUAGUCUACUCCUGUAUUCUCAGCACCCAGCACAAAGUAGGUGCUUAAUAAAUGUUUGCUGUUCGGAAA